rnacentral:rRNA from 1 species
GAUGAACGCUGGCGGCGUGCCUAAUACAUGCAAGUCGAGCGAACAGACGAGGAGCUUGCUCCUCUGACGUUAGCGGCGGACGGGUGAGUAACACGUGGAUAACCUACCUAUAAGACUGGGAUAACUUCGGGAAACCGGAGCUAAUACCGGAUAAUAUAUUGAACCGCAUGGUUCAAUAGUGAAAGACGGUUUUGCUGUCACUUAUAGAUGGAUCCGCGCCGCAUUAGCUAGUUGGUAAGGUAACGGCUUACCAAGGCAACGAUGCGUAGCCGACCUGAGAGGGUGAUCGGCCACACUGGAACUGAGACACGGUCCAGACUCCUACGGGAGGCAGCAGUAGGGAAUCUUCCGCAAUGGGCGAAAGCUUGACGGAGCAACGCCGCGUGAGUGACGAAGGUCUUCGGAUCGUAAAACUCUGUUAUUAGGGAAGAACAAAUGCGUAAGUAACUAUGCACGUCUUGACGGUACCUAAUCAGAAAGCCACGGCUAACUACGUG